UACGGAGGAUGCGAGCGUUAUCCGGAUUCAUUGGGUUUAAAGGGAGCGUAGACGGCUGAGCAAGCCUGAAGUGAAAGGCGGGGGCCCAACCCCCGGACUGCUUUGGAAACUGUGCGGCUCGAGUGCGGGAGAGGUAAGUGGAAUUCCUAGUGUAGCGGUGAAAUGCGUAGAUAUUAGGAGGAACACCAGUGGCGAAGGCGGCUUACUGGACUGUAACUGACGUUGAGGCUCGAAAGCGUGGGGAGCAAACAGG
rnacentral:rRNA from 1 species